CUUACUUUUCACACUCCUAGUGGCUGCCCUCAUCUUUGGAAUUAUCUUCCCCUGGAAGUCACCCAAGGCUAAACUGGUGCUUCGUAUGGAACUUAUGAAAUACAUUUUUAUAAACACUGACUCUUGGUGGCAAGAGAAUAAGUAGCAGUUAGAUAGAAUAACUAGCAUACUUGUAUCAGUCUGGAGCCUCGGGAUGGGACUUGAGUAUGCAAGUAAAUAAAUAAAACAGAGUCCCCUUUCAUCCAGAGCUGCAAGUGUUUUUAUUUUUACAAUGAAUUCAUUUUACCAUACAACCUAAAUGUCAGAUAUUGCUUGCCUCAGCUCCUGUGAGAGAAGAUCCAAAUAUAGCUACCUGCAUAAAUAAUGUAAGUGAAGUUUGGCCCAUUGUCCUACUUUGGCAACUUGUAGAGUUAGCAAUGCAUUUUUCCAUUAUAUUAUUUCAUUUAUGAUGUGCUAGUAAAAUGGGACUCAAGACAGAACUGCUGGUUGGUAUGGAGCCAAGAACAUUGUAACAGAUCUUCUCUAUUUAGUUUCACUGUUUGCUAUGGAAGCCAUAGUUCCAAACACUGUGUUCCUUAACCCACUGGACCUCUCUGCCAUCUCUCUGCCUGGAUUUACUGGUGUUGAUCUAGAUUCUCUGCACUAUUCACUGUGGUCAAGAAACAGCAUAAACUGAUCGAAGAAUCAGCAAGAGUAGGAAGACUAACUCAUCACAGGCAGGCAGAGGAAAGGCAGGAAUGUAUCCAUGUGUUCAUACAUCAAUGCAGGUGAAGCAGUGACUGUCCUAAAUCAAUGCUUGGAUGUAGUAAUUGAAUUGACCAGCUGAUCCUCAGUCCAGACAAGACAGAAGUACUGUUGGUCGGUGGUUCCUCCACCUGGGUGAAAGAUGUUCAGCCUGUUCUACAUGGGGUUGGAUCCCUCUGAAGGACCAGGUUUGCAGUUUGGGGGAGCUCAUCAACCAAGUGACCACUGUGGCUCGGAGUGCCUUUUAUCAGCUUCAACUGAUAUGCCAACUGCAACCUUACCUGGACAGAGAUAACUUGGCCACGGUUACUCAUGCUCUGGUAACCUCUUGCUUAGAUUACUGCAAUAUGUUGUAUGUGGGGCUGCCUUUGAAAAAGGUCUGGAAACUGGAGCUGGUACAAAAUAAGGCUGCAAGAUUAUUAACUGCAAGUUUAUUAACAUUUUGAUCAUAUUACACCAAUGCUUUGUCAUCUGCACUGGCUCCCAGUCCAUUUCCGGACCCGAUUCAAAGUGCUGGUUUUAACCUUUAAAGCCCUAAAUGCAGGGGCGUAACUAGGGGUAGGGCAGGCAGGGCACGUGCCCUGGGCGCCACUUGAAGGGGGGCGCCAUUUUGUAAAAUUAAUUUUUUUUUA